UUGUCUCUCUUGAGUGGAUCCUGAGUACGACGGAGCACGUGAAAUUCCGUCGGAAUCUGGGAGGACCAUCUCCUAAGGCUAAAUACUCUCUAGUGACCGAUAGUGAACCAGUACCGUGAGGGAAAGGUGAAAAGCACCCCGGAAGGGGAGUGAAAUAGAACCUGAAACCGUGUGCUUACAAGUAGUCAGAGCCCGUUAAUGGGUGAUGGCGUGCCUUUUGUAGAAUGAACCGGCGAGUUACGAUUUGAUGCAAGGUUAAGCAGUAAAUGUGGAGCCGUAGCGAAAGCGAGUCUGAAUAGGGCGUUUAGUAUUUGGUCGUAGACCCGAAACCAGGUGAUCUACCCUUGGUCAGGUUGAAGUUCAGGUAACACUGAAUGGAGGACCGAACCGACUUACGUUGAAAAGUGAGCGGAUGAACUGAGGGUAGCGGAGAAAUUCCAAUCGAACCUGGAGAUAGCUGGUUCUCUCCGAAAUAGCUUUAGGGCUAGCCUCAAGUGAUGAUUAUUGGAGGUAGAGCACUGUUUGGACGAGGGGCCCCUCUCGGGUUACCGAAUUCAGACAAACUCCGAAUGCCAAUUAAUUUAACUUGGGAGUCAGAACAUGGGUGAUAAGGUCCGUGUUCGAAAGGGAAACAGCCCAGACCACCAGCUAAGGUCCCAAAAUAUAUGUUAAGUGGAAAAG
rnacentral:rRNA from 1 species